rnacentral:rRNA from 1 species
GUCUAUGGCCAUGCCACCCUGAACGAGCCCGAUCCCGUCUGAUCUCAGAAGCUAAGCAGAGUCGGGCCUGGUUAGUACUUGGAUGGGAGACCACCUAGGAAGACCAGGUACUGUAGGCG